AGUGAACGCUGGCGGUAGGCCUAACACAUGCAAGUCGAACGGCAGCACAGUAAGAGCUUGCUCUUACGGGUGGCGAGUGGCGGACGGGUGAGGAAUACAUCGGAAUCUACUUUUUCGUGGGGGAUAACGUAGGGAAACUUACGCUAAUACCGCAUACGACCUACGGGUGAAAGGAGGGGAUCUUCGGACCUUGCGCGAUUGAAUGAGCCGAGGUCGGAUUAGCUAGUUGGCGGGGUAAAGGCCCACCAAGGCGACGAUCCGUAGCUGGUCUGAGAGGAUGAUCAGCCACACUGGAACUGAGACACGGUCCAGACUCCUACGGGAGGCAGCAGUGGGGAAUAUUGGACAAUGGGCGCAAGCCUGAUCCAGCCAUACCGCGUGGGUGAAGAAGGCCUUCGGGUUGUAAAGCCCUUUUGUUGGGAAAGAAAAGCAGCAGGUUAAUACCCCGCUGUUCUGACGGUACCCAAAGAAUAAGCACCGGCUAACUUCGUG
rnacentral:rRNA from 1 species